rnacentral:rRNA from 1 species
GACAGAGGGGGCAAGCGUUGCUCGGAAUUACUGGGCGUAAAGGGCGCGUAGGCGGGAUGGCAAGUCGGUCGUGAAAUCCCUCGGCUCAACCGAGGAACGUCGAUCGAUACUGCUGUUCUUGAGGAUUGCAGAGGAGACUGGAAUUCCCGGUGUAGCGGUGAAAUGUGUAGAGAUCGGGAGGAACACCGGUGGCGAAGGCGGGUCUCUGGGCAUUCCCUGACGCUGAGGCGCGAAAGCGUGGGGAGCAAACGGG